rnacentral:rRNA from 1 species
AACGAACGCUGGCGGCAUGCCUAACACAUGCAAGUCGAACGAAACCAUCGGGUGCUUUCGCGCACGGGUGUGUAACGCGAGGGAACCGGCCCACAGGGUUGGAAUAACUCUCCGACAGGGGUGCUAACAGCGGAUAAUGUCUUCUGACGAAAGAUUUAUCGACCUUGGAUGGGCCCUCGUUGGAGUAGCUAGUUGGUACGGUAAAAGCUUACCACGGCGCCGAUCCGUAGCUGGUCUGAGAGGCUGAUCAGCCACACUGGGACUGGGACACGGCCCAGACUCCUACGGGAGGCAGCAGUGGGGAAUAUUGGACAAUGGGCGGAAGCCUGAUCCAGCAAUGCCGCGUGAGUGAUGAAGGCCUUAGAGUUGUAAAGCUCUUUUACCCGGGAUGAUAAUGACAGUACCGGGAGAAUAAGCCCCGGCUAACUCCGUG